rnacentral:tRNA from 1 species
GACGCGGCGUGGCCCAGUGGCAGGGUGGCUGCCCGCAAAGGGUAAGUAGAUGCCGGUUCGAAUCCGGCCCCGCGUCA